CCUUCCUGUCAGAUGCCCGAGAAUCUGGUCCCCACAGACAGCGCUGAGCAGAGAACUGAGGUCUGGAGGAGGACGACAGUGGAGGACCUGAGGGGGGUCGUCCAACGCCGGAGCUGCUUCUGGAUGGGAGCUGGCAGGCUCCUGCGAUGCUGGGUGAAGAACUUUGACAGUCCUGGGCUUCUCUGAACCACCAGGGGUGGUCGACAAGAGGCUGGUUCUUAACGUCUGCCAGUGGCUGGGUCGUGGCGGUGGGGCCUUGGUACCGUGACCCGAUUUCCCCCUCGGGCGAGUGCACACAGUCCAGGCCGGGUGAUCCUCCGGCCGAAGUGGCCUCCUUUUCGUCUUCCAUUUCAAGUGUGUUUUCUCAGCUGACUGGGUCGUGGGCAAAGUGACAUCACCAUCUGAUCCAUAUCUGAAAACAUUCUGGCUCAGUGAAAACAGAGCAAUUUGGAACGGGCUCCCUUAAUUGCAUUUGACCAUUUUGGCAGCUGCCUGCACACCCGGGGAGCUGGCCGUUCUGCAAUUUGUUUUGAAAACAAGCUUUUCAGUAUCUGGGCUGCGAGGAUUCUGUGUGAAGGGUGUACACUGUGAAUCACAGUUUCAAAGGAAGACAGCAAACACAGAUCAUAGCCAAGUGAUUUGUAUAACUGGAUCGCUGACAGAAAUCCGGGAAGCAGCAAAAAAAACAAGCAAGCACAAAGACACAGUCAAGCACCCGGCGGGAGUCGGCGUGCACCCAGGGAGGGGGCCCGGGGUGAGGGGCUGGGAGCCCGGGGUCUGGGCUCAGGGUGCUGGGCUCGCCCGCGCUGGGGACACGAGCCACCUUCCACUGCUCCUAGCAGGUUUUCAGU